rnacentral:lncRNA from 1 species
AUUUCUAGCCCCGUUUUUAAUUAUUUUUAUAUUUUCGGGAUCAUUGUUGCUUAAUCUAUCUAAUGAGGGGACUAUUUUGCAAAACCAUUGAAUAGUUUGAUAUUUGCCAUUGAUGAGUAUAAUAGGGCUUUGAAGUUUAAUGGAAGAAUAUGAGUCCUUGUUGAUAGUUAAACACUUUUUGUUAAGUGAUUUUUUGUGAAAUUGACAAUUAAGGGCUAAAUUGAUAAAUGUGAAAACUUUGUGGUUAAAAUGUCAAAUAAAUAAAAUGUGUGGG